AUCCAGCUGACGAGUCUCAAAUAGGACGAAACGCGCGUCCUGGGU
rnacentral:hammerhead_ribozyme from 1 species